rnacentral:rRNA from 1 species
UCGCCGCCGCCGACGUCGCGAGAAGUCCACUGAACCUUAUCAUUUAGAGGAAGGAGAAGUCGUAACAAGGUUUCCGUAGGUGAACCUGCGGAAGGAUCAUUGUCGAUGCCUACAAAGCAGAACGACCAGCGAACUGUUUCUCAACACCCGGGACACCGGAUGGCGUUAAGCUGCYUGGUAUCCCGACGCUUCGGAUGUUGAGGGGGUGCGAUCCACCCCCAGCGGAUGGAGCAUCAAACACACCCCCGGCGUGCAAAGCGCCAAGGUACUCCAACGGUAGGCAAGCACCCGUAGGCCUGGACUCUACAGCGCUUGGGUGUCUGCUUGGUAUCAUAAAUCUAAACGACUNNNGUGUGAAUUGCAGAAUCCCGUGAACCAUCGAGUCUUUGAACGCAAGUUGCGCCCGAAGCUUUGGCUGAGGGCACGCCUGCCUGGGUGUCACACAUCGCUUUGCCUCCAGAACCUAUCCCCUCUGUAACACCGUGGUGAUGGUCUGGAUGCAGAAGAUGGCCUCCCGUGACCAUGAGCCACGGAUGGCCCAAAUUUGUGCUGGGGAAGCGAAGRGCCACGGCAUUCGGUGGUCGGCAUAGCCCCUGAGGCGUUGAAGGCCGUGGAAGCCGCGAGAGUCCCCAGCGUACAGCCCUAAUCGUUAACCAAUGCGACCUCAGGUCAGGCGGGGCUACCCGCUGAGUUUAAGCAUAUCAAUAAGCGGAGG